rnacentral:rRNA from 1 species
GAUGAACGCUGGCGGCGUGCCUAAUACAUGCAAGUCGAGCGAACAGACGAGGAGCUUACUCCUCUGACGUUAGCGGCGGACGGGUGAGUAACACGUGGAUAACCUACCUAUAAGACUGGGAUAACUUCGGGAAACCGGAGCUAAUACCGGAUAACAUGUUGAACCGCAUGGUUCAACAGUGAAAGACGGUCUUGCUGUCACUUAUAGAUGGAUCCGCGUCGCAUUAGCUAGUUGGUAAGGUAACGGCUUACCAAGGCAACGAUGCGUAGCCGACCUUAGAGGGUGAUCGGCCCCACUGGAACUGAGACACGGUCCAGACUCCUACGGGAGGCAGCAGUAGGGAAUCUUCCGCAAUGGGCGAAAGCCUGACGGAGCAACGCCGCGUGAGUGAAGAAGGUCUUCGGAUCGUAAAACUCUGUUAUUAGGGAAGAACAAAUGUGUAAGUAACUAUGCACGUCUUGACGGUACCUAAUCAGAAAGCCACGGCUAACUACGUG